rnacentral:tRNA from 2 species
GCGCCCGUAGCUCAGCCGGAUAGAGCAACGGCCUUCUAAGCCGUGGGUCAGGGGUUCGAAUCCCUUCGGGCGCGCCA